AGUGAACGCUGGCGGUAGGCCUAACACAUGCAAGUCGAACGGCAGCACAGUAAGAGCUUGCUCUUACGGGUGGCGAGUGGCGGACGGGUGAGGAAUACAUCGGAAUCUACUUUUUCGUGGGGGAUAACGUAGGGAAACUUACGCUAAUACCGCAUACGACCUACGGGUGAAAGCAGGGGAUCUUCGGACCUUGCGCGAUUGAAUGAGCCGAUGUCGGAUUAGCUAGUUGGCGGGGUAAAGGCCCACCAAGGCGACGAUCCGUAGCUGGUCUGCGAGGAUGAGCAGCCACACUGGAACUGAGACACGGUCCAGACUCCUACGGGAGGCAGCAGUGGGGAAUAUUGGACAAUGGGCGCAAGCCUGAUCCAGCCAUACCGCGUGGGUGAAGAAGGCCUUCGGGUUGUAAAGCCCUUUUGUUGGGAAAGAAAAGCAGCAGGUUAAUACCCCGCUGUUCUGACGGGACCCAAAGAAUAAGCACCGGCUAACUUCGUG
rnacentral:rRNA from 1 species